UACGAAGGGGGCUAGCGUUGUUCGGAAUUACUGGGCGUAAAGCGCGCGCAGGCGGCUAUCCAAGUCAGUGGUGAAAGCCCGGAGCUCAACUCCGGAACUGCCAUUGAAACUGUUUAGCUUGAGGAUGAGAGAGGUGAGUGGAAUUCCCAGUGUAGAGGUGAAAUGCGUAGAUAUCGAGAGGAACACCUGCGGCGAAGGCGGGUUGCUGGGCUGACACUGACGCUGAGGCGCGAAAGCUAGGGGAGCGAACGGG
rnacentral:rRNA from 1 species